UAGGGAAUCUUCGGCAAUGGGGGCAACCCUGACCGAGCAACGCCGCGUGAGUGAAGAAGGUUUUCGGAUCGUAAAGCUCUGUUGUAAGAGAAGAACGUGUGUGAGAGUGGAAAGUUCACACAGUGACGGUAACUUACCAGAAAGGGACGGCUAACUACGUGCCAGCAGCCGCGGUAAUACGUAGGUCCCGAGCGUUGUCCGGAUUUAUUGGGCGUAAAGCGAGCGCAGGCGGUUUAAUAAGUCUGAAGUUAAAGGCAGUGGCUUAACCAUUGUUCGCUUUGGAAACUGUUAAACUUGAGUGCAGAAGGGGAGAGUGGAAUUCCAUGUGUAGCGGUGAAGUGCGUAGAUAUAUGGAGGAACACCGGUGGCGAAAGCGGCUCUCUGGUCUGUAACUGACGCUGAGGCUCGAAAGCGUGGGGAGCAAACAGG
rnacentral:rRNA from 1 species